GAUGAACGCUGGCGGCGUGCUUAACACAUGCAAGUCGAACGAUGAAGCUCAGCUUGCUGGGUGGAUUAGUGGCGAACGGGUGAGUAACACGUGAGUAACCUGCCCUUAACUCUGGGAUAAGCCUGGGAAACUAGGUCUAAUACCGGAUAGGAGCGCCUACCGCAUGGUGGGUGUUGGAAAGAUUUAUCGGUUUUGGAUGGACUCGCGGCCUAUCAGCUUGUUGGUGAGGUAAUGGCUCACCAAGGCGACGCCGGGUAGCCGGCCUGAGAGGGUGACCGGCCACACUGGGACUGAGACACGGCCCAGACUCCUACGGGAGGCAGCAGUGGGGAAUAUUGCACAAUGGGCGAAAGCCUGAUGCAGCGACGCCGCGUGAGGGAUGACGGCCUUCGGGUUGUAAACCUCUUUCAGUAGGGAAGAAGCGAAAGUGACGGUACCUGCAGAAGAAGCACCGGCUAACUACGUG
rnacentral:rRNA from 1 species